UUUAAAGGAAGGAGUAGAUGGUU
rnacentral:piRNA from 1 species